rnacentral:rRNA from 1 species
CCUACGGGAGGCAGCAGUCGAGAAUCAUUCACAAUGGGGGAAACCCUGAUGGUGCGACGCCGCGUGGGGGAAUGAAGGUCUUCGGAUUGUAAACCCCUGUCAUGUGGGAGCAAAUUAAAAAGAUAGUACCACAAGAGGAAGAGACGGCUAACGCUGUGCCAGCAGCCGCGGUAAGACAGAGGUCUCAAGCGUUGUUCGGAAUCACGGGGCGUAAAGCGUGCGGAGGCUGUUUCGUAAGUCGUGUGUGAAAGGCGCGGGCUCAACCCGCGGACGGCACAUGAUACUGCGAGACUAGAGUAAUGGAGUGGGAACCGGAAUUCUCGUUGUAGCCGU